AGAUUUUUAGGUUAAAAUUAGACCAAUAUUCCUACAAAAUAAAAGUUAAAGAUUUU
rnacentral:tRNA from 1 species